rnacentral:tRNA from 1 species
AUAAGAUAGUAUAUGGAGUACAUAGAAUUUUGAUUUCUGGGGUGAAAGUUCAAGUCUUUUUCUUGU